AUCCCGGCUUACUAGGACGUAUACUAAAAUUGGAACGAUAUAAAGAUUAGCAUGGUCCUCUGCGCAGUGAUGACACGCAAACUCGUGAAGCGUUCCUCACUUUU
ensembl:snRNA U6 U6 spliceosomal RNA